rnacentral:lncRNA from 1 species
UCAUGGAGUACCUGCAAGACAAUGAACUCCUGAGAUCAAGAAAAAGCCCCGCAAGUUUAAUAGUUUAUCUAAAUAAGCCCUUAUUCUAUACUUAUAAAGAAACAGUGAAAUGCAUGAAAUCGGAAUAAUCGACAAUGACGAGGUAAUUAAUGAUGAAAUUGACAGAUAAAGAGCAAAUAUGCUUUCAAUCAUAUUCUUCUAGAUUUCCAAAAUCAGAAACUUGCAGCAGAACACUGUCGCCUGUGCUCGUAAAUUGUAAUGCAAGAUCAUUUCGUCUCAUAUUCAGCAAGUAUGCUAAAAAACACCAAAUAGAACAACAAAGGUUGGAAUCUUAGCGAUUAAAUCAUCUCCAAGAAACUCUUAUGCUACAUUGCAGUUAAAGACAGGGUUAAAGUUACAUGAAUCAGAUUGCAUUUUACCCUCUCUAUUAAAAAAUUGAGCAAAUUAGCCCUUGUGUGUUAUAUCAAAGAACAAAUAGAUCCUUUUUAUUAGAAAUUUCAUCCAUUUGUACUGUAAAAAACUAGCAUAGCUACUAGAAUAACCAGACAGUGACACAUGAUGCGACAUAUGUACCUCAUAUUGAUAUACAAGAACCAGUUUUUAACAGUAAAAACUGAUAGAAUUUUUAAUAGAAGAACGAAUUAGCUCUUUGAGCGAAUUUGCCCUUUUUGCCCAUUUUUUAAGUAAACGAGGCAAAAUGCAAUCCGAAUUCUAAUAUAAGGACUUUAAUGGUACUUUUACCUUAAAAACAGUAAUUGCGUGUCCCUUAAAGCAUGCCAUUUAGUUAAAAUCUUAAAUAAUGCAAUAAUUAUUCCUUAAGUUUCAUGAUCAUCUAUGACAAAAAACAUGUACAUAUUCACACACAUAUUUCCUUGGUAAACAACAAAAGGUAUGUUUCCAUCUAUCACGAAAACCGGACUAUGCUUUAGACUUAACCAAAAUAUCACGAAAGAUUUAGGCACAGAGCACAUAAAACAAACUAUUACCGCAUCAUUACAAGUAAGAACAUGAAUGAUAAAUUUUCAAUUACCAGAACUUAAACUCGGGUAGCCUACGAAUAAACGGCUUGAACUCGUCUGAACCUUUUGUUGGCAACAAAGGUCCAUCGGAACCUUCGAGUUCAGGAUCAACCAAAGGAGACAAAAACCCAAUUAGCAAAUUCAGUAGGUAAAUCCCUAGACCGUAUGCGACUAUGUAAAACCCUUGAACGUAAUAGACCCGCAAACAAUAGAUAGCUACUAUAACAAGGGUUCCGAUCCACCUAUAAGUCGAAUGAGGAGUCGACUUAUCUAGAUAAUACUGAUACAUCCUCCAAGCAUCAUGUCCCCAUUGAGGCAUCGGUGAUGCCACCGAUGCACCGUCCCCUCCGAUUCCUUCCAUCGGAUAUUAGCUUCAAAUCCUAUGUCAUAAGAAAAGAAUCAAAUCAAAGUAAGAAUCAAAUCAAAGUAAGCACAAAGAUCCAUUAAGUUCCCAAAAUAAACACCUAAAAACCCUAAUGCUAUGUUUGUUUACCAAGUACAUGCUUAAAAUCUCAUGAUUCAGAAAUUUGGAACUGAGAUUUUGAAAAAAAUACACAAAACCCACCAAAAGGAAAAUCAAACCCAUAUCACAAAAACCAAGAGUUACCCAAAAGAACAUGAGAUCCCAUAAUUUCCCUUCAACUUUCUCACUGAACAAACAAUAACCCAUUUUUUUUUCUUUGAAAGGAAACAAGUAAACCUCAAAAACCCAGAUCCAGAACAACCAAAAUCGUUGAAUUAAAAAAGGAAUCUAUCAUGAAUACUAAAAAAAAAAAUCGAAUGCUUGAGAAAAUAAAUUGGGAUCUUUAAGAAGAAUCAAUAUAAAACUAAAAAAUUGGUUUUAAAUAUAGUUUUUAAAAGAACUCAAACCUCAAAAGGAACCUCCGUUGUUCAGCUUUGGACUAAGAGGAAUAGUUUUUUCUGGUGACAAGAGAUGAAAGCAAGAGGCGAUAAACAAGCAGAUCUAUUCGGAGAUGGGCAUCUUUCAUUUCAAUUUUUUUAUAAAUAUUUUCUCUUUUUUUACCAUGUUUUUCCCCCUUGUUACAGCGUUGAUUUUUUAGUUUCACCGACAGUGAUGUAAACGGAACGGGAAACCGUACGCCUUUCUCGGCCUUUGUGUAUCUAUAUUAAAUGCUAGACUACAGUCAUCUAGUUAGUCAAGUUGUAAAAUUUUCUUUUUUAUUAUCGAUCAUACAAUUAUUAAUAAUAAAACUUAACAGCGUCAAAAAUUCUCAAAAUUCAAAAAAAAAAAAAACAAUUAAUCCCCUAUUUUUUCUACUCAUUGAGUACUUAAUUUGAAAAAAAUUAUCAAAAAAAUUUUUAUAAUUAAUUUUAAAAGUUAAUCAUUAAAACUAAUUACUCCUAGUUUUUUCAAUUAAAAUCACUCGUGUCACAAUCACAGCGGGAUAUGUAAUAAAAAAUUAUAAAAAAAUCAAUAAAAAUUAUUAAAUUUUAAUAAAAAUAUAAAAAUAUCUAAAUUUUAUUAAAAACUAGAAACUUACAAAAAAAUAUAAACUUUAAAUUAAUAAAAUUAUAAAAUAAUAUUUUAAAUACGAAUCUUUUACGAAUUUUAUAUUUUCUUUUACAUUAUUUAUAUUUUUUUUACUAUUUUUAUGAUUUUUAUAAAGUUUUAUAGUUUUUGAUUUUUACAUUUUUCUUGAUUUUUAAUAAAUUUUUAAUAUUGUUAUAUUUUUAAUAAUUUUUUUGUUAACAAUGAUUAUGACACAUCAUGACUUUAACUGAAAAAUUAGAAACAAGUAACUGUUAAAAUUAAUGGUCAAAAAAUUUUUUGAUGCAUUUUAAUAAUUUAAGUACACAAUUAAGUGUAAAAAAACUUUUUUGAUGCAUUUUAAUAAUUUAAGUACGUACUUGAGUGAAAAAAAUUAAUGGGUUUUUUUAAAUAAUAAAAUUUGAUUUGAUACAUUUUAAAAAUUUAAAUAUUCAAUUGAACAAAGAAAACGAGACUUAAUAUUUGCUUUAAAAAAUUUACACUUUUAAGCUUUAAUACAAUGAUAAUUUAAAAUUUUUAAAAAUUGAUAUAGCAACAACUUUAAAAUUUAAUAUUUACUCGUUGUGUCAAUUUAAUAAUAAUUUAAAAAUCUUUAACAAUUACAUAAACAUAUUCUUCCAAAAUCGUUAAUCCUUUCGGAGCCGUUCCUGACAAUGUUGUUUUCUGUUAUGGUUAAACUCGAGUAGAUGAUGGAAGGACAAGUACCUCGAUAACCCAAAUUCUAAAUGUGGUAGGAUUGCCUUCUGUAAUGAUCAAGGCUGGUAAGCCCAUCGGUCCACACGGUUGUCCACGUACCAGUAGAAGAUUCAGCGGCUACCGUGGCACUUACUUCCUCAGGCGGAACUUUGAGUUGAGGAGUUACUUGGAAAGCUGCCAAGAUAUCAAUAUCUUUGACUUUAUAUUCAGGAGUAUAAUAAGUCAAUUUAUACUCGUUAAUAUAAAUUCCUUACUUUUUUUAUCUAAAUUUUAAAUGCAAAUAAAAUAAAUGAAAUAGAAAUGGAUAAAUAAUAUAAAAAUGAUAUUAAUAUAAUAUCCUAAUAUAUUAUAAAUAAAAUAUAUAAAUAAAUUCCAAUACUAAUAUAAUAUAUAUUACAAUAUAUAAUGACAAAAAAUUAAUAACCGGAUAACUACUAGAAUAGUUUACCCUUUUUAAUAUAGGUAAACUAUAUAACAAUGGUCACCCAACUAUUCUCGUGUUCCUAUUUUGGUCACCUAAAUUAAAAAAUUUUCAAUUUAGACACUAAUAUUUAAAUUUGUUCAUGUUCUGAUUAUCCACCAUUAAAUUGAUAACGGAAAGCUUUUUUUUCUAUGGGUAUAAUAACAAAAUUAGUCACCAAUACUUACAUACUCUAUCAAUUUGAUCCUCAAUCUUCCCAACCAAAAUUUUUAGCUUUUAAAGUAUUCUACAUCUAUAAAUAUAUUAUUAAUUUAUAAAUUUGUAAAACCCAAAAAAGAAAAAAAAAUUAUCUCAUGUACAAAUUAGUAAUAUAAUUUAAAUAACUCUUAAAUCACCUCUAUUUUUUUUUUAAAAAUUUUACAACUAAAUUAGAUAAUAAACUAUUUUGAUAUAUUUUUUAAUCUUUCAUGAGUGUGCUAAAAAUGAAAAAAAAAUGAAAAUUCAUAAGUAUAUUUAAAGAAAGAUACAUGAGCAUGAACAAAUUUACAAAAUCACUACAAAUUUACUAAAUAUAAAUAUAUUAUUAAUUUAUAAUUGAGAUUUUUUUUUAAGUUUUACAAAUUUAUAGCCUUGAAAUAAAAUUGAUAAAAUUUAUAAAUCCAAAGGAAUAAAUUUAUAAAAUAUUAAGAAUUAGAAUAAAUGAAAACUAAAUGUAUUAUUAUGUCGAUUAAAAAAAGUUUCUAUUAUCAAUUUUGAUGAUCAAAAUAGAAAAUAGGCAUAGUUGAAUCACUAUUUGUAUAGUUUACUCUUUUUAUAUAUUAGCCAUUAAUUUUCCAUUUACUGCGGAAAACCCCAUCAUUGCACCAGUUAUGAAAAAGCACAUCAGAAGAGAAAUUAAGCGCAUAAUCAACCAUUGAUGGUUCCUCCUAAUAAUAAUAAAAAAUGAUCUUUAUCACUAACAAUUUAGCUACCAAUAUAAACCAUCAGAGGACUGAAACAAUGAUUUUGUUGCAUGUAUACAUUUCUGCCCAAUAAUCCCCCAAAAUCUUUGAUCAUAUCUUUAAAAAUGUGUAUAAACAGGGUCAAACUGAACUUAUGUUUUUGUAAUAAACUGCAUAUUUAAAAAAAAAAAAAAGAAUCCAUAAACAGCAUAAAUUCAUCUUCUCCAAAGAUGAAAAUCAAUGAUCAUGUAUGCUGAGAUUCAAUCCUCACGAGAACCACUGCUACUAGCAGAACCUUUCUUACCGGAAUAUUUCUGUAAGAAAAAAAAAUUGUUAAGAUUUCCUGGUUGGCCACGAGUAUAAACUAAAGGCGAACCCGUUUUCCGAUGCUGAAUGGGAUAUACUUGUAUUUGAUCAUAUGUCCGAUUAGACGCCUCAUUGUAAUAACGAAGAGAACGAUCCCAUAACAAAGUAGUAUAGGCCAAAAGACGGGAGCAUCGAAUACAGAGAAGAAAGUCAUGACAAAUGCUAUGCAGAAAGCCUUGGUCAUGGAGUACCUGCAAGACAACGAACUUCUGAGAUCAAGAAACAGCCCCGCAAGUUUAAUAGUUUAUCUAAAUAAGUCCUUAUUCUAUACUUAUAAAGAAACAGUGAAAUGCAUGAAAUCAGAAUAAUCGACAAUGACGAGGUAAUUAAUGAUGAAAUUGACAGAUAAAGAGCAAAUAUGCUUUCAAUCAUAUUCUUCUAGAUUUCCAAAAUCAGAAACUUGCAGCAGAACACUGUCGCCUGUGCUCGUAAAUUGUAAUGCAAGAUCAUUUCGUCUCAUAUUCAGCAAGUAUGCUAAAAAAC